CCGCGCUAGACGGGAAGUUAGCGGUGUCCUGAACUCGCAAUCCGCUUUAGCGAGGUCGAAUUCCCACCCGAGGGCGUAUUUGCCUUUUAGCUGGUGCGGGGCACGCGGCGUUGACGGUUGGGUCCUACUCAACGGGUAACUGCCAAACCCGGUCAGGUCCGGAAGGAAGCAGCCGUAGGUGGUCUUUCUCGUGUGCUGUAGGAGCGCCUGACCCGAGCAGGCGACCCCGUGGCCGUUCUGGGCGGUCGCUCGACGGUGGGUGCGCGG
rnacentral:SRP_RNA from 1 species